UUUUAAGCUUCAGAAAGAAAACAGCCUGUUUAUAAAUAAAUAUACUAUUCAUUUUUUUAUUUCAGAUCUUGACAUGGAUCCAAGAUGCUGGUAACAAGGCGGGACGGAUUGUUUCACAGAACUGCAGGUUUCCGGAUGGAGACUCAGCGCCAUGUCACAAAUACUUCAGAACCAAGAAUGAAAGUUACCGAAAGAGCAAUAGACUUUCCAAUCUCUACAAAAUUCAUCUUUACUGUUCUUCAAGGUGAUACUUGAGACUACCAAAGAUUUUCAAGGACAGAACUCACAAAACAGUUUAUGCCACCAUCUCAUAUCAAAGGAUUGUGCUUGAGUUGAACAGCCUUCAAACAGAAACUGUUUCAACACCUUCAAUGGAUUCAUUCUGAUUCAGUUUACUCUUGCUGUGAUCUGAGCAACUAUUUACAUCAGUUCAACAUUUUAAAUUGUUUAAACUUGAAAAUUCUGUCUUCUUGCAACUCACAUAAUUUUAUUUACUGUGGACUUUGAUGUUGACUCUAUACAGGAAGAAGAGACCAUCUUUAUACAUGCUGGCAUAUCAUUUAAAAUGGAAACACAUUUUAUAACCAACAUACUGCACUGUUAUGUCAUCCAAGGACUCAGCUACUGACUCAAGGCAAAAAUGUAUCUGUCAAUGUAAUUACUGUUGUGCAUAAUAAGACAUUUUUUAUUAUGCCCCCUUCGAAGAAGAGGGGUAUAUUGCUUUGCACAGGUCGGUCGGUUCCGUGAUCUUGAAAGCAAACUCGACAAUUCCUGGACCAAUGGUCAUCAAACUUGACAUAUAGGUUGGGCCUGACCAGUAGAUGACCCCUCUUAACUUUGAGGGUCAUCGAGCCAAGGUCAAGGUCACAAUAACCUUUAAUGCAAAAAAGAUAACAAAUCUUCUCCCAGUGAUAUCUCAACAAUGCCUGAACCUAUGAUCAUCAAACUUGACAUGGAUGUUGGGCCUGACAAGGAAAUGACGCCUAUUGAUUUUAGGAGUCAUUGGGUCAAAGGUCAGGUUCACAGUGACCUUGAAUGCGAAAAUGUUUCGAGUGAUAACUUGACAAUGCCUGUACCCAUGGCCCUCAAACCUGACUUGGAGUUGUGUCUGACAUGUAGUUGACCCCUUUUCAUUUUGGGGGUCAUCGGGUCAAACGUCAAGGUCACAGUGACAUUGAUUGAAAAAAGCUUGUCUGUGUGAUAACUUGUCAAUGACUGAAUCCAUGUCCCUCAAACUUGACAUUUAGAUUUUUGUAGACCAGCUGAUGACUCAUAUGGAUUUUGAGGUCAUAGAGUCAAAGGUCAUGGUCAUAACACACUCUAUUCUCACAUUUUGAAUGGUCAUAUUCUUUAAACUGCCUCAACGGCAUCCAAUGUCAGUGACAAAUCAGUUGUUAUUUUGGUCCAUGCAUAUUUCAUUCAAUUGUUCAUAUAAUCCUGACAACAUGGCGCUCAGGUGGGGGAAUAAUGUUUGACAAACAUCUCUUGUUGAUACUUGGCUCAUUUCUUACAUGUAGCUGUAACAUUUUGGGCAACUUCUCAAUUAUUUUGUUUAAGACAUUUUUCAUCCAGCUUAUCUAAGCCUAAGUUAGUGUUCAUGUUAACUUUUAUGACUGCCUGUUUAUUGUACUUUUUAUAAAUUAUUUUCAAUGACUUUUUCUCAAGAACCAUUUGGCUAAGUAUGUCUCCUCCUGAAAUAAACUAAUUCUUUUAGCUCGAGUUGUCUGUCUGUCCGUCUGUAACAAAUUGUGUCUGCUCCAUGUCUCUUUAACCUUUUGAAGGAUUUGAUAUAACUUCCCACAAAUGUACACCAUAUUGAGUUGAAGGGUUUAUUAUUAUAACUGUUGAGCAGUUUCUGAACUUGACUGUAUUAUAUCUUGCAUUUACCUCAAGCUGUUAAGUGAACAAUAUAACAUUGACCAAUACAAGGAACUAAACCUUCUAGGUCACCAUUUUGGAAUAAAGUAAUACUUAAAGCUCAUUAUUCCAUAAGAAUCUGCUCAUAUACAGUUUAAAUAGCUUAUACAAGUAUAUCAUUUCAACAUAACAUCAGAUCCUCCACUGUUUUAUGUUUGCAACAUUUUUGCUCUAAACUUUGAUUUAUAUAUCAUGACUUUUAUGAACAAAUACCAAAUAGCAACUCACAUAUCUAUGCUCAUUUGGGCAGAAUUUUGUAAAUCCAAGCAUUAUCAUUUGAUAUUCAAUGCUUUUUGGCAAAUUGGGGCAUUUUCUGUCACAUUAAAAUCAAUAUUAACAAUAAAUCUCCAACUUCAAUAUUCUCAUAUUUUUGUGCCCAUUCUUUGCCAAUUAUUUGUAUGUCUAUUGGUAUACAUGUAUGUUUAUUCAUACUGUUUGUCAAAAUAACGAAUGAAUAAAAUGUUUGAAAUA